rnacentral:lncRNA from 1 species
AAAGCCAUAGAGAAUUAAAGUAGGUUAGUGGUUGUCUAGUUGGGAGGGGGAUGACAGAGUGUGUGCUAAUGGGUAGAGGGUUUCUUUUUGAGGUGAUAAAAAUCUAAAAUGGACUCUAAAAUGGUGGUGGCUGCACAACUCUACAAAUAUACUAAAACUAAUUGUACAUUUUAAACAGAUGAAUUGUAAGAUAUGUUAACUGUAUCUCAAUAAAGCUAUUUUAAAAAGUAAGGUAUUAGAAAAUAAUGUAUUAGGCCAGGCGCAGCGGCUCACGUCUGUAAUCCCAGCACUUUGGGAGGCCAAGGCAGGCGGGUCACAAGGUCAGGAGUUCAAGACCAGCCUGACCAAUAUGACGAAACCAUGUCUCUACUAAAAAUACAAAAAUUAGCCUGGCAUGGUGGCACGUGCCUGUAACCCCAGCUACUCAGGAAGCUGAGGCAGAAGAAUCGCUUGAACUCGGGAGGUGGAGGUUGCAGUGAGCUGAUAUCGCGCCACUGUAUUCCAGCUUAGGUGACACAGCAACGCUUCAUCUCAAAAAAAAAAAAAAAAAAUAGACUAUACAGGAAUUGUGCCUAUGUUGUUUUUACUUGAAGCAGUUGUUCACAGCAUCAGUAAGCUCUUUUAUUAUUUUUAGAACAGAAACUUAUUAGAAGAGCAAUUUACAGUUGUUCUGAGUGUUGACUAAGAAGUCUGGAAAUUGGAAAAUAUGCUAAUAAAAAUAUCAGGGUCAUUAUAUAUGGUUUUGGAAUCUAGGCCAAUCAGUAUUGGUGUGAUGUAAGUCAGUUCUGGAAUGCCAUGAUAAAGGAAACUGAAGAAGGUCAAUCUAGAAUGAUACUUGCUGGAUGGAUUGAAAAAGUGAAGCUUUAGCAGCAAGUAGAAAAACUGAAGCAUCAGUUGCAGUAACUCAUCCAUUGAGUGAAAAGGUUCUUCCCAUGUCCCUACUCUCAGAAAUGCAUUCUGAAAUUUCGAAGAAACAAGACAUUACACAAGUACAUGGCUUCACUACCAAGGGGAAGGGCAAAAGACCAUCUUUGAUUUAAUUCCAGGCUUCAGUGUCUAAUUCUGUGGCAAAGAUAGCUCAUGAAUUCUUUGUUCCUCUGCCAAGCGCAACAGGGAUAAGUAGCCUUGCUCUGGGAAUAUGAGUUUGAUGAUUGGGUUGCAUGAACCCUGGAAGCCUGGAAUAUUCAUCUAUUUUCACAUUCUUCUGUCCCUCCUGACUGCAGCACUCCCCAAACCUACAUGGAAGAGCUAAAAUCAAUUCUGGUAAAUCUCAUCAACUUCUAGGACACUGUGGUAGAUUUCCUUCAGUUUAAUCUCUAGCAUUAACUGGAAGAAACAUUUUCUUACUCAGUCACUACAUUUGUCAAGAAAUAAUGCUAUGGUUGAACACUGCACGAAAUGAUAGAGAUUAACAGUAGCACAAUACUAGACAUUUCUUUUUUGCUAUUCUACUUAAUGCCUGAUGUAACCUCAUGAGGUGGAUGUUGUACUCCUGACUUUAGAGAUAAGAAAACUGAACUUUUGGGAGGCUAAAUAACUUACUUACAGUUACAUAGUCAAGAAAUGGAGAUGGCAAGAGUUCAGGCCUAGGUUUGUCUGAUUGCAAAUACUACAUCCUUUCUAUUGCUUCACUUUGUUUGGCUUUAAAGCUGUUAAAUGAGAAUGACCAUAAUACCCCAGAGAACUUCUGUGAGGAUUAAAUGGAUAUGCAAAAGCUCUCGACAUAAUACCUGGCUCAAGGUAGAGUUUGGCUGAGACAGCCCUUCUUGGAUCCACCAGACAUCUGGGGAGGCAUUCAACUGGGACCUGCAGGAUUCGCUUUCAAUGUGGCUCACCCACAUGGCCAGGAGUGCAGACCAGGACCAGCUGUUUCUCUCCACAUGGGUUUCUUCAAGGACUUCUUGGGCUUCUUCAGAGCAUGCCAGCUGGAUUUCGUGAUAUCAAGAGGAGUGUAGCACACACAUGUUACAGCUGAAAAUGAUGCGCUGUGAUGUCAAGCACUUUCCCAAGGAGAUGCAGCUAAUAGUUGCCAGAGCCAUAAUGAUAUUAGGUGUUGUUCCCUUUGUCUGGGACGCCCUCUCCGUAUGUAUUAGUCUGGAAAACUCCACUUAUCCCAUCAGCCUCAGCUCUCACCUCUUCCGAGACCUUCCCUGACAUCACUAGGCAAAUAUAAAUGAGCCCUCUGACCAUCCCCUUUGUGCAAGACUCAGGUUAAAAAAAUGACCCCAUGAGAGAGUGUUAAUAUUUCUUUCCUCAAUUAGAAUCUUGAAGUCCAGAACUGUGCAUUUCCAUCCUUAUAUCAGAAUGUCUAGCACACAAGAAGCACUGGGAAAUAUGUGUGGAAUAAAUAACUGAGCAUGUUGAUAAAGGAGCAUAUAUUUUUAAUAUCCAUAGAAGUGCAAAUCUUUGCUGGGUAGCGUUGUAGGAAUGUUUUUCCACAUGUCAUGACGACAUUUGUUUUGCAUUUUAGUCCAUUACCAUAAUAAUAACUCUCCAUUUGCAGCUUAUGAAUUUGAAAAUAAAUUGCCUUCCCUAGGAAAUAGGAGAAAAUACUAUUAAAUGGC